rnacentral:SRP_RNA from 1 species
UCGGCGGGGGCCGGAGCACAGGGUUCGGCCUCAUCUAUGACAGCGUUGACAAGAUGAAAAAGUUCGAGCCGAGGCACCGCCUGGUGCGGGCGGGCGUCGGCGAGAAGAAGAAGGGGGUCGGCCGCAGGGCAGGGAAGGACCUGAAGAACCGGCAGAAGAAGGUCAGGGGCAAGGAG